rnacentral:rRNA from 1 species
UAUCCUACGGGGCGCCGCAGUGGGGGCUCUUGCCCCCUUUUUUCCCCCCUGAUGCAGCGACGCCGCGUGUAGGAAGACGGUCCUCUGGGUUGUAAACUACUGUCCCCAGGGACGAAGAUGACGGUACCUGGGGAGGAAGCUCCGGCUAACUACGUGCCAGCAGCCGCGGUAAUACGUAGGGAGCGAGCGUUGUCCGGAAUUACUGGGUGUAAAGGGAGCGUAGGCGGGGAUGCAAGUUGGGUGUUAAAUCUACCGGCUCAACUGGUAGUCGCACUCAAAACUGCAGCUCUUGAGUGAAGGAGAGG